UAGAGCAUCACCAAGGGGCAAG
rnacentral:miRNA from 1 species